GUUUCGAAUUUUGAUUUGAAAUUUUGUGACAAGAGACAUCGAUGUUCCGUCGAUCUACUGCAUUUUUUUCAGAUUUUUUUGAACAUUUUAAAAAUAUUUUUCAGACAUUUGGAGCACCGGGAGCACCCCAAGCCUGGGAGCACUAGAUACUUUCCCGCGAUGGUGAAUGGAUGCAGUUGUAUGCUUCUUUCUUGUUCUUGGUGUUCAACAGAAUUAAGUUGCAAGUUUAUUAUGCCUAGAGCUGUUAUUUUGUGUAUGUACUAUAGCCUGUAUAUUUGCCAAACUGUGUGAAUUCUCCUAUGACCCGAUAUAAAUUUUAGCUAUCAUUUAGUUUAUCAAUUCAGAACUAAUUUUUUUAUGUUGGUUUUGUGAACCCAAUUGCUGCUGUCAGAUGGAGCUGUUUUGUUGGAGAAGUUUUGUGGCUGGGGCAAUGCCACCAAUGAUGAGGGGCCUCGACCCUGAUAGAUUAUCUACUGUUGACAUGUUUGAUUUGCAGAGCAGAUGUUGCACGAAGAAACAAGAAACAUGUUUGAUUUACAGGGUGAUGCUGCACUAAUUCUUCAGUUUGUUGUCUUUCCAAUCCAAAAGAAAAAUUAGGGAUGCCUAAGAUCAGCGAUGAGGCAGUGGCAUGCGCUCGUCCUCUCAGCCCAUGUUUUGCUGCCAUGGUGCCCUUCACUUACGUCCGCCUCUAGAUGGCGCUUGCAACACCUAUCCCUUUCCGCAGCUCAUCCAUAAUGCAGGACAACACCACUAAUAUCUCAACAUGUGAUUGGUGGUCGAAGAACAAAAAACUUGGACUCAUGUUCACAACCUUGGAGGAGGGAAACAUCAAAAGUUCGUUAGUGCAGGACUGUGCUGGGUAGCAUGUGAGGCCCCAACCGACGCAGUCGUGCACCAAAGGCCCAGUACACAUAUACACUACAUCGUGGACUGUGAUCGCUGUGUCUACUGGGACUAUUUAGUGUCCAGUUUUUUUGGUAAUGGAACAUUUUGGCCUACAUAAAUGGAUUCCAGGAGAACAUGAUGCGAGCAGUACCGGCAAAAGCAUGUGUGGUUAGAUAUUUGUUCGGAGGAAUCAUUACAAGAAAAUGUGAAAGAGCAAGGUCUGGGAAGGAUAUGAAAGGAAGCAUUGAUAUUCAUGACGGAGUGCUAGUUAUAGGAUGACAGCCGGCUUGAGGAUGAGGGUAGCUUUCUUUCUGUUGGUUAAAGAUCUUGUGGGUUCCCCUGACGCUAACUAUGUCUAUAUUAUUGGUAUGUGACCUGCACAUGUUAUGCUUAGAUGCACUUCUAAAUUUCUUACAUGCGUAUACAUAUUUUAUUUAUUUAUUUUAUCACUAAUUUCUACUAGAACCUGAGUAUUGAUCUCAUGCAUGCUUAUACAUAAUUACUAUUGAUUUACAACCAUUUGUGAU